AGAAAAUUGAUUUCGACAGACUAACAGACGGAAGGACGGACGGACGGACGAACAGAUGGACAUGGCUUAAUCUACUCCGCUACUUUUUAGAGUCGAAAAAUUAUAUUGUGGAAGUUACAAACGUAAUGAUAAACUUAUAUAUCUAACGAAGGGUACAGUUUAAUAAGGUGAAAGUAGUGUUAACUAACAUUUAUCUUUUCGUAUUUGCACAUUAUCAUAUUCUAACUGAUAAAAAUUUAGAUUUUCACCACAAAAUAAGGACGUUUCUAUUAUUUUUACCACCACUGUAAAUACAUUUUUAAUCACUAAAGAUUUUUUUUGCAUGUAUGUAUGUAUGUAUAUAUAUAUAUUUUUUUUAAAGUUUAAUACAUUCAUAAACUACAGAGAUAAGAACACAAAAUUGCAAGCAAAAAUAACUCCAAGAUAAAUAAAAUAAAUUUAAAUUGAAAAAUUAUUUUUUCUUUUCGUAUUUGCACAUUCUGGGAGGCGUUUCUACGGCAGAAGGUAGAGUUUUUAUUCUCUGGACUUUAUACAAUAUUGACUUAAACACCUCUAUAAGUCUUCUUAGAUCAGUAAAACAAAAAUAUAUCAACAGAUUUUGGGUGAUCUUGAGUCAAGACAUACGUUUAACUUUCAACGAUGGAACAAUAUCUUACAAACAUCGAUUUGCUGACACAUAUUUGUAAAUAUUUAAACUACGAAUAACAACAUAUUUUAUCACAAGUUUCUAGUGAAUUGAGAAAUAUUAUAGUGAAUUACGUGUGGAAAAUCUAAUUUAAAGAAACUCAAAUAAUUUUAAAUGAAGACGAUAUAAAUCGUUUAACAUUUGUAGUGUCGAAUACAACACAAACAUUUAUAAAACAUAUAACACUUUAUAAUGUUUAUAAUAACUAUAUUAAACAUGAUAUAUGGCGUCGAAAUAGUAGUUUUCUUAAAAGUAAAAACACAAAAACAUUUUUAAAUUUAAAUGCAAAUAAUAUAAAAAAAAAUUGCAACUGCUAGUGCAUCAAGAUCGUCAUGAUAAAUUUGGAAUUAUUAGGUAUGACUUGCCAUUUGGGCAAAAAUUUACAAAUCUUAGCGAACUAAGUUGUUGGAAAUUGAAAUUGGAAAAUAGCGACUUACAACAAAUAGCUGAGAAUUGUUUGAAAUUGGAAACAUUGAUCUUUGCAAAUUGCUACCAUCUAAAUGAUAGACCUUUGAAAAUUGGAAUUGAUAUUGAUAUUAAAAUUCUAAAAUUUCCCAAACGAAUUAAAAGUAUAAAUAUUUGCGGUAUUAUUAAAGAUUGUAACUCUAUUCGAAAUAAAUGCGUGGAAACUAGAAAACAAAUAAACGAUAUUUGCCAAUUCUAUAUAAAACAGUAUUGGCAAUCAUAUUUUAUACUUGAAAUGUAAAAUGUCUUUGAGAAAGACUUUUAAUGGCGUAUUAGAAAUAUGUACAGUGAAUCAAUUAAGUAAUUUGCCUAUGUAAAAUUUUAUAAAUUUUAAGAAAAAACUGAACAAUUAUUUAAGUAAAA